CGCAAUUUAUGUUAAUUAAAAAUAUGUAAAAUUAAAGCUGAUCGGAGUAUUUUCGUUAAGAUGCAGUUUAAAUUUAAAAGUAGCAUGUAAGGUGUGAUCAAAGAGAAACUGUGCGCGGGUAUAAUUUGUUUAUUUGGAUACUUCAAAAUUAUCUAAAGAAAAAGAGAAGUGUGAAUGGCAUUUUACCAGAGACAUACGUGCAGAGGCAUAUGAAAAGGUUGAACAAUUUGUCGCCGAAAAAAUAGUUAAUCAAGAGCAGUCUUUUUUUUGAAAUUUUUAAAUGACAUGUUUAUAAAUUAUUAUUAAAUUAUGUUUAAAGAAUAAUGAUACACCGGCUUCAAAUACUAUAUGUAAACCUUAUCAUUUAUAAGAAAGAUUGCUAAAAAAAUUUUCCAAAGAAAUCAACUUUUAAAGGCGAAAGUCUCGUUAAACCUUAUAAGGGCAUAAUGAUUAAAAAAGAAGUUCACAAGCAUGAAGUUUUAGAUGCAGCGGCGCGUAUUUUAAACGAAGAAAUACUUAAAUUCAAAUGUAAUAAGAUUCCAGCUAAUGAGGUGAAAACAAAACAUUUGAUAGAGGGUGAAGUACCUGAACUAGUUAGCAAAUUUUAUGAAAAAGUAAUUGCAGGCGCUAAUUACCGACGACGACAACAUACAAGGACCGUCACAUUAGCAAAAUCAUUUUCAGAAGAUGUAAUAUAUGCCGUUUUCAACGGUAGAGGAAAAUUAUCUAAACAAAUCUGUCUUGGCUUAACGUUGAAGAGCUUGACUAACAGCAAAAAAAUUAUAAAUAUAGUUCAUCGGUACGGGCAUUGCUGUAGCUAUAGUAUAUUAGAAGGUCUCGAAACCAAGUCAACAUUUACAUCUUGCGAGAGCACCGAUAUUUGCCCGGAUGGUAUCGUGCGAUUACCUGGCUUACUCACUGGAGUUGCGUACGACAACUAUGAUCGCUUUGUAGAUACGACUGGGGGUAAGGACACGCUCCACGACACCGUUGGCAUCAUUUUUCAAAAUGAAAGCGAGGAAGCUGAUGAUAGCGAAAAUAUUGAGGAAAAUGUCAGUGAGAGCAUCGAUGACGUGUCUGCUUCAAAACUAGUUAAACAUAGACGGAGUUUUGACAUGAUCAGCCACGAACUACAGCCGUACACGAAGCGACCACGAAUUAUUGAAAGUAUGCUGCCACUUGACUCACCAUUGCGCUUAAACACUCCAAAUCUUCAAUCAGUGAAUCAUAUAAAUUUUGCAUGGAUGCUUUCGCACUACUUUAAUAUGCAAGGUACAGCGAUGUGUGUCGGUUUUAAUAGUUUGUUGCAUGAAGAUACAUACCCUAAGCAAGUUAUUUGUUAUUUAACGACAAUUCAUUCUUCACCAACAAAUAAGGCUGUUGUAUUGCAGACUAUGCAUCAAAGCAAAGCAGUGGCUAAUGAGUGCGGAGAAGAUUACAUGCAAGUAACGUACGAUCUUGCAAUUGCAAAAAUAGCUCUACAAAUUCAAAGCACUGAGAAAGAAGUGUUUGAUAAUUUAUUUAUUCACCUUGGUGCUUUCCAUAUUAUGAUGGCGUAUUUUAAGGCAGUGGGUAAGUUUAUUGAUAACUGUGGCUUAACAAACAUCAUGGUGAAUGCAGAUAUGCUUGCCAACGGAUCGGUGAACGGUUUUAUUGCUGGCAAACAUUUCAACAGGUGUAAGCGCUUGCACCCAAUAACAGCGUUGGCGUUCAAAAUGUUACACUUUGAAAAGUUUGUCGAACAAGAGAAUAUAGAAUUAACCCACGAAUUAACAAAUUUGCUACAGUUUUUAAAAAGAAAAUCGCGCGAACAUGCAUUCAAAGAGCCUGUAUUGACAAAUUUGCUUGAAAAGUAUGAACUUUUUAGAAAGCAAACAAUAGAAGGCAAGCACGGUAAAACAGCACAGAUUUACAUGUAGUAUGUGCAAUUUAUCGAUUAUUAUUUAUUACUCAAUGCAAGCAUCCGCACAGGUAAUUUCGAUAUAUUUAAAUUCGUUUUACCGAAAAUAAAUAAUUUGUUUUUUGCUUUCAAUCAGCCAAAUUAUUCACGAUAUUUAGUGAAAUAUCACGAUAAUUUGUUGAAAGUAGAUGAGUCACAUCCAGGAUUGCGUCUGCAAUUUGAGAAGAACUCAAUCGGUGUUAAAAGGACGAUGAAACCUUUCUCUAGACAACCGAUUUAUCUGACUCUCGAACAGACUAUAAUUGCUGAUGCUGCGAAUAAGUUGACAGGAAUUUCACAUAUAACUAAUUCAAUAUCUGCUAGACAGCGUUGGUGCAGGAGUCAUACGAUACGAUCGAACAUUAUUAGUCAUACAAUGGAACAAACGGGGCUGAGAAAAGCUCAGGAUAUAACAGCCGAUCUACAAAAAAGCCGAAUAAAACAUAAUUCAACGCAGCUCCACGGAUUUAUUGAUGGAAUCAAACGUACCGUGAAUUCGUUUGCCAACAAUCUAGAUAAUAAUUAUUUAUAUAACAUUUCUACUGGCGAAGCAGCGCCCGAACAUGUAGAAAAUUUCUUACUCAAUGCUGGAAAAAAGGGAAACGACAAACGAGAAGCUUUCAUACAAAUUUGCGUAGAUGAUCCAAAUAAGUUCGAGCAGGCUAUUUCGCAGUCAAAGUAUUAUACUUUUAGUGACACUGUUAUUAAGAAAAAAGUUUCGGUUGCUGGAAAAGAGGUAGAACUGCGAAUGCAGCCCGAUUUAUUUGGCCAGCUUCUUCAUAUUUCUUUGAAAAAAGAACUCACUUUAGAAAAGGUUCUAGCUUAUCCGUUAACAAUAUUUCAAAGAAAGUACUGCAGACAAUAUGUACGAGUAGAGCAAAAAUUGUCGUAAUUGCCUUUGAUCAAUACAUUUUUCCAACGAUCAAAGAUACUGAACACAAGCUCCGAGGUAUGGUACAAGCAAACUUUCAUAUCGAUGGUCCUGAUCAACUGCGGAAAAAGGAGUUAUUAGUUGAACUAAAAAAUAUAAAUUUUAAACAAGCACUCGUUAAAUUUUUUAUUGAUAAUUGGGCAGAAGACAUUAAUGACAAAACUAUUUAUGUAAAUUCAGGCGCUUGUUUUAAGUUUACUGUCAAGGACGGUAAAGUAGUGAGAACUUUGGAUGAAAAACUUACGUGUCCUGCUCAUGAAGAAGCCGACACAAAGAUGAUUUUUCAUAUUUGCCAACUAGAUUUCGAUGCAAAAGUAACAAUUCGUUGUUCCGACACCGACGUCUUGAUUAUCAUGUUAGCCAAUAUGAGUAAAAUUUCGAAAAAUAUUCAAGUACGCAUGGAAGUCAGCGUUGGCAAUCAUCAACGAUUUAUUAAUGUAUCGAAAUUGUACGAUGCUCUAGGAAGAAAUGUAAGCGAAGCACUACCAGCCUUUCAUGCGCUCACAGGAUGUGAUUUUAAUCCGGCCUUUUUUAGAAAAGGCAAAAAGCGCCCGUUUAUCAUCAUGCGUAUAUUUACUGACUUUACCGAGAGCUUUAUUCAGAUGUCAACGCCAUCGGACAAUAGAGAAGAAACUUUUGCCAAGAUAGAGCAGUUUAUUUGUAAAAUGUAUGGGUUCAAAUCGCUGAAAAACAUUAACGACGUACGAUUAGCAACAUUUCAAAAAACGUACAAACACAUCGAUAACGAUGACGUUUUCCAUUUGCCCAAGAAAAGUAUUGAUGGUUCGGCCUUACCAUCAUGCAAAGCGGAACUCUACCAACAUUUUUUGAGAGCGUGUUAUGUAGCGCAAAUGUGGGCGCACGCACACCUACAAGUUCCCAUUGCUGAGCCUCCAACAAAUUAUGGCUGGAUAGAGAUCGAAAACAAGUACGGCUUUUCUUGGUUUUCUGGGAGCCAGUUAUCAACGACCAUCACCGAAAUAACGAUUCAACCCGAAGAAGAUGAUAAUGAUUAAAAUCUAAGGGCGGAAUCUGACAGUGACUCUGACAGUGAAUUCGGGGAUGGUGGAAGUAGCAGGAGUCAAAGCGAAGAUGAAAUAGAAUAUCAGCUGUUUUUUUGAAUAAACGAUGAUAAUACAUCAAGUAUUGAUUAAUAUAUUAAUUAAUACAUAUUACUUUAUUUUUCGAGUUUUAUUUCUUCCUUUAUAAAUUGAAAUCCAGUUAGAAUAUUUAUUCAAUCCGUAAUAUACGCGUCCCAUCCAAUUUACGCAUAUUAUCAACGUUCCGAGUAACUUUAGUUAACUUAUUUCAUCCCGAUUGAAAUAUUAUCAGAUAAUAGUCGACAUAGUAGCUGAAGUAAUCAAAUAAAUCAGCUUGCUGUA